CAGUCGCCGCGGUAAUACGAAGGGUGCAAGCGUUACUCGGAAUUACUGGGCGUAAAGCGUGCGUAGGUGGUGGUUUAAGUCCGUUGUGAAAGCCCUGGGCUCAACCUGGGAAUUGCAGUGGAUACUGGGUCACUAGAGUGUGGUAGAGGAUAGUGGAAUUCCCGGUGUAGCGGUGAAAUGCGUAGAGAUCGGGAGGAACAUCAGUGGCGAAGGCGGCCAUCUGGGACAACACUGACGCUGAAGCACGAAAGCGUGGGGAGCAAACAGGAUUAGAUACCCCAGUAGUCCCUGUCUCUUAUAC
rnacentral:rRNA from 1 species